CUUACGUCCGUAUAAACGCUGAUAUAAUAGGUAUUAUUAAAGUUGGCAUUGAAAUCGAACAUGUGUAUUCUGCAGAUUUUUGAGCAGCGCAGAUGUAUCUACCGGUACGCCGAAAGAUGUUAAAAUCGGAUCAUAAGCUAAAGUUGUACCUCGGAGUCUGCGGCAAAUUUACGAAAGUUUUUUCGGGGCCUUACGAUGCCGAUGAUAAAUGAGAACUGUCGGAGAACUCAACGAUUUUGACUGACAAAGAAGUCGACGAAGAAGCGGAUAAACUUCCAUAGUUUUGUUUAUGCCAACAAUCGCUGCAAACAAAAGGCGAUGGGUGGACAUGGAAAUUAAAAUUAACUAAAAUGGCAAUCACUUGGCUGCGCAGGAAUACAAUGAUUUUGGCCUAUUGUUUAGCCGAUUGAGAAACCACUAGAAGAGUCUGGUAUAGGAAAGAGGUCUCUAGAAUGUGACACUUGUUCCGUUCGUCCUGCCAAUUUUGUCAUUUAUUUAUGAAACUUACCGAGCUUCCAUCCUCCAGAAAGCUUGAAGUUUCAUCUUAAAUAUGAACUUAAAAAGAAAACCAAAUAUAAGAUCUG